rnacentral:rRNA from 1 species
AUUGAACGCUGGCGGCAGGCCUAACACAUGCAAGUCGAACGAGUGGCGGACGGGUGAGUAAUGUCUGGGAAACUGCCUGAUGGAGGGGGAUAACUACUGGAAACGGUAGCUAAUACCGCAUACCAUCAGAUGUGCCCAGAUGGAUUUAGCUAGUUGGUGGGGUAACGGCUCACCAAGUCGACGAUCCCUAGCUGGUCUGAGAGGAGGACCAGCAAAACGGGAACUGAGACACGGUCCAGACUCCUACGGGAGGCAGCAGUGGGGAAUAUUGGACAAUGGGCGCAAGCCGGAUGCAGCCAGGCGGCGGGUAUGAAGAAGGCUUUCGGGUUGUAAAGUACUUUCAGCGGGGAGGCGUUACCCGCAGAAGAAGCACCGGCUAACUCCGUGCCAGCAGCCGCGGUAAUUC